GGAUGCGAUGACGAUCGGCUGGUGUCCC
rnacentral:sRNA from 1 species